ensembl:lncRNA
AUAGAGGGCUCUUCAUUCUAAACUAAAUGGAUCUUGCUUUCUGACUGUUCCAUGCAUAUGGAAGAGGGAAAAGGAAGGAGGAAGGGAGCUCUACAUCAUACCAUGGUCCCUACAGAUGGUCAGCUGACUUUCCACUGGGUUUGGCCAAUAGAAGAAAUCUGGUGAGAGAAAAGAUUAUGAAAGGAAGAAACUUAAAUAUGAACAGAUGACUCAUUGGAAAAGACCCUGAUGCUGGGAAAGAUUGAAGGCAGAAAGAGAAGAAAGUGACAGAGGAUGAGAGAGUCGGAUGGCAUCACCAAUUCAAUGGACAUGAACUUGGGCAAACUCUGGGAGAUGGUGAAGGACAAGGAAGCCUGUCGUGCUGCUAUCCAUGGGGUUGCAAAGAGUCAGACACGACUUGGUGACUGAACAACAACGACAAUAGGUAAAGAGCAAUCAAAAUGUGGAGAUAUCUGUAAAAAGAAGAGAGAGAGCAAAGGCAUGCUUAUGAUGAAUAUGAUAAGACCAAAUGCUUCAAUUUGAAAAGCAAUGACAUAGUACAAGAGAUUGAAGCUGAAAAAGUAAAGCUGGAAAAUUAUUUUGAAUGGACUAUUUAAGAAGAAUUGCUUCCCUGAAUCAGCCUAAUUAAUGUCUUGGGGGUUGGGCCUUAUUUAAUCGUGUAUAUAUCUUGUUACCUGAUCAUAAGGGUUUAUUAAAGCAGAAGUUUAGUUU